GGGCGCGUAGCUCAGCGGUAGAGCACUGUGUUGACAUCGCAGGGGUCACUAGUUCGAUCCUAGUCGUGCCCACCA
rnacentral:tRNA from 2 species